rnacentral:snRNA from 1 species
GUUUAUCAGAAAGUGUAUCUGUGCUAACUUCAGAAGCACAGUGAAGACUAGCCUGGCCACUGCACAAGCAUGACAUGCAAAUAUGUGAAGCACUUUAUAUUUUU